AUUGAACGCUGGCGGCAGGCCUAACACAUGCAAGUCGAACGAGUGGCGGACGGGGGAGUAAUUUCUGGGAAACUGCCUGAUGGAGGGGGAUAACUACUGGAAACGGUAGCUAAUACAGCAUACCAUCAGAUGUGCCCAGAUGGGAUUAGCUAGUAGGUGGGGUAACGGCUCACCUAGGCGACGAUCCCUAGCUGGUCUGAGAGGAUGACCAGACAAACUGGGACUGAGACACGGUCCGGACUUCUACGGGAGGCAGCAGUGGGGAAUAUUGCACAAUGGGCGCAAGCCUGAUGCAGCCAUGCCGCGUGUAUGAAGAAGGCCUUCGGGUUGUAAAGUACUUUCAGCGGGGAGGCGUUACCCGCAGAAGAAGCACCGGCUAACUCCGUGCCAGCCGCCGCGGUAAUAC
rnacentral:rRNA from 1 species